GUCUGAAGUUGCAGUCUGAGACCUAUAACGAAAUUAGUUAAAACUUUCAACAACGGAUCUCUUGGUUCCGGCAUCGAUGAAGAACGCAGCGAAAUGCGAUAACUAAUGUGAAUUGCAGAAUUCAGUGAAUCAUCGAGUCUUUGAACGCACAUUGCGCCCUCUGGUAUUCCGGAGGGCAUGCCUGUCCGAGCGUCAUUGCUGCCCUCAAGCCCGGCUUGUGUGUUGGGCCCCGUCCCCCCCGCCGGGGGGACGGGCCCGAAAGGCAGCGGCGGCACCGCGUCCGGUCCUCGAGCGUAUGGGGCUUCGUCACCCGCUCUAGUAGGCCCGGCCGGCGCCAGCCGACCCCCAACCUUUAAUUAUCUCAGGUUGACCUCGGAUCAGGUAGGGAUACCCGCUGAACUUAAGCAUAUCAAUAAGGCGGAGGA
rnacentral:rRNA from 1 species